rnacentral:RNase_P_RNA from 1 species
AGAGCAGGUCGGGCGGUCGCCGCUUCCGCCGCAAGGCGGGAGGGGAGGAAAGUCCGAACACUACAGGGCAGCGAGCCAGCUAACGGCUGGGCAGCAAAAGAGCAACGCGCAGGUUUGGCCUGCCAACGGGCUUUAUUGCUGACGACAAGUGCAACAGAGAACAGACCAGCCAGCGGGCCAUCACUGAUGGCAGCGGGUGAUGGGUGAAACGGUGCGGCCCGCUCGCGGGCUUAAAGUAAGAGCGCACCGGCGCGCUUGGUAACAGGCGCGGCCAGGCAAACUCCUCGCAGUGCAAGACCAAAUAGGGAGAGGUCAAUCAGGGCUGCCCGCCCGAAGUCGCAAGGCCAGCAAGGCUUCGCGGCUACCGUCUCCGGGUAGGUCGCUUGAUCCGUCUGGCGACAGACGGGCUAGAUGAAUGAUCGCCGCUCUGCUUCAGGGCAGAGCACAGAAUUCGGCUUACAGACCUGCUCUCAAA